rnacentral:rRNA from 1 species
AUUGAACGCUGGCGGCAGGCCUAACACAUGCAAGUCGAACGAGUGGCGGACGGGUGAGUAAUGUCUGGGAAACUGCCCGAUGGAGGGGGAUAACUACUGGAAACAGUAGCUAAUACCGCAUACCAUCGGAUGUGCCCAGAUGGGAUUAGCUAGGAGGGGGGGUAAAGGCUAACCUAGGCGACGAUACCUAGCUGGUCUGAGAGGAUGCACAGCCACACUGGGACGGAGACACGGGCCAGACUCCUACGGGAGGCAGCAGUGGGGAAUAUUGCACAAUGGGCGCAAGCCGGAGGCAGCCAUGCCGCGUGUGUGAAGAAGGCCUUCGGGUUGUAAAGCACUUUCAGCGAGGAGGCGUUACUCGCAGAAGAAGCAUCGGCUAACUCCGUGCCAGCAGCUGCGGUAAUUC